GCAAGUCAGGCUUGGCAAAG
rnacentral:miRNA from 1 species